AUACGGAGGAUGCGAGCGUUAUCCGGAUUUAUUGGGUUUAACGGGAGCGUAGGUGGGAUAUUAAGUCAGCUGUGAAAGUUUGGGGCUCAACCUUAAAAUUGCAGUUGAUACUGGUUUCCUUGAGUACGGUACAGGUGGGCGGAAUUCGUGGUGUAGCGGUGAAAUGCUUAGAUAUCACAAAGAACUCCGAUCGCGAAGGCAGCUCACCGGGCCGGAACUGACACUGAUGCUCGAAAGUGCGGGUAUCAAACAGGAUUAGAUACCCUGGUAGUCCGCACAGUAAACGAUGAAUACUCGCUGUUUGCGAUACACUGUAAGCGGCCAAGCGAAAGCGUUAAGUAUUCCACCUGGGGAGUACGCCGGCAACGGUGAAACUCAAAUGAAUUGACGGGG
rnacentral:rRNA from 1 species